GAUGAACGCUAGCGGCAGGCUUAAUACAUGCAAGUCGUGGGGCAGCAUGAAUGUAGCAAUACAUUUGAUGGCGACCGGCAAACGGGUGCGGAACACGUACACAACCUUCCUAUAAGUGGGGAAUAGCCCAGAGAAAUUUGGAUUAAUACCCCGUAACAUAACGAUGUGGCAUCACAUUGUUAUUAUAGCUUCGGCGCUUAUUGAUGGGUGUGCGGCUGAUUAGAUAGUUGGCGGGGUAACGGCCCACCAAGUCUACGAUCAGUAGCUGAUGUGAGAGCAUGAUCAGCCACACGGGCACUGAGACACGGGCCCGACUCCUACGGGAGGCAGCAGUAAGGAAUAUUGGUCAAUGGACGCAAGUCUGAACCAGCCAUGCCGCGUGAAGGAUUAAGGUCCUCUGGAUUGUAAACUUCUUUUAUCUUGGGACGAAAAAAGGCUAUUCUUAGUCACUUGACGGUACCAGAUGAAUAAGCACCGGCUAACUCCGUG
rnacentral:rRNA from 1 species